rnacentral:rRNA from 1 species
GAUGAACGCUGGCGGCGUGCCUAAUACAUGCAAGUCGAGCGAACUGAUUAGAAGCUUGCUUCUAUGACGUUAGCGGCGGACGGGUGAGUAACACGUGGGCAACCUGCCUGUAAGACUGGGAUAACUUCGGGAAACCGAAGCUAAUACCGGAUAGGAUCUUCUCCUUCAUGGGAGAUGAUUGAAAGAUGGUUUCGGCCAUCACUUACAGAUGGGCCCGCGGUGCAUUAGCUAGUUGGUGAGGUAACGGCUCACCAAGGCAACGAUGCAUAGCCGACCUGAGAGGGUGAUCGGCCACACUGGGACUGAGACACGGCCCAGACUCCUACGGGAGGCAGCAGUAGGGAAUCUUCCACAAUGGACGAAAGUCUGAUGGAGCAACGCCGCGUGAGCGAUGAAGGCCUUCGGGUCGUAAAGCUCUGUUGUUAGGGAAGAACAAGUACCGGAGUAAUUGCCGGUACCUUGACGGUACCUAACCAGAAAGCCACGGCUAACUACGUGCCAGCCGCCGCGGUAAGAC